UACGGGGGGGGCAAGCGUUGUUCGGAAUUACUGGGCGUAAAGGGCUCGUAGGUGGCCAACUAAGUCAGACGUGAAAUCCCUCGGCUUAACCGGGGAACUGCGUCUGAUACUGGAUGGCUUGAGUUCGGGAGAGGGAUGCGGAAUUCCAGGUGUAGCGGUGAAAUGCGUAGAUAUCUGGAGGAACACCGGUGGCGAAGGCGGCGUUCUGGACUGCAACUGACACUGAGGAACGAAAGCCAGGGGAGCAAACGGG
rnacentral:rRNA from 1 species